rnacentral:tRNA from 1 species
UGUCCAGGGGCGGGAAUCGAACCCAAAACCUUCUGUUUACCGGGCAGGUGCCAUGUCCACUAGGCUAACCUUUAC